AUACCUUUCUCGGCAUCUGGCUAAGAUCAAGCGUAGUAUCUGUUAUCAGUUCAAUAUCUGAUAUGUGAGCCUACGUGUUCAUGAUAUUGAUAGUAAAUCUUUUAUGGGAGAGGUUUUAGUGGCUUGCCAUUGAUUCCCUCAGUCGUUGCCUUAUCAUUGCACUAUAGCUCUGGCUUGGCGCGCCAAAG